UGGAGAGUCACUGCUUCACAUAAUUUAGAGUCUGCAGCCUUUUACCGUUGCAAAAACACUGUGGCUUGCUUUUAAUUUGGCGUAAUUGACUUAAUCAUGAAGCCGUUUGGUCAACAAUUACAGUUUGUUGACGACACGUAGAAAGGUAAGCUUUCUGGGCAGAAUCACCCAAAAACUCCACUUGGAUACAUCAAACAGCUGAUUUUUAGAUAUUCAUUGUUUUUCCUUUCUGUAAAACUGCUGUAAAAUGUGGAUAAGAGGCUGUAAUUCUGCAUUUUUGCGCCCAAUUUUCUCGCCGUGAAGCAGGCGGAGGUUUUGUGCAGAGUGUUUACUCAACUCCUGCAACUGGAGUCAGAAUGACCACACAGCCCACCUCUAGAGAGAAACACUGGUUAAAAGUUCGUCUGUGGGGUCACACACAUUCCCUCCUGGUGCCUCCCACAUGAUCCGCCAUUCAGAGAGCGACACCACAGGAAACGCACACUCCAGUCCGGAGGCGAGUCUUCCCACAUAAAGGUCAACGCAAUCUACAUCUGGCUCCUCUGCCGACACGCAGCAUCACUGAUGAUCGCCGUUGUUGGGGGAAAUGUGGGCGCACUAAGCUGCACCAGCAGAAGUUCUGGAUGCAUAUAGGUGUGGGAGAUAUGAGGUAUAUGAUCCUGCGGUGUCCAACCAUCUGGUGUUGGGAUGUGAGACAAUCUGUCCAUUUGGAGAGGCGACAGAGAAGGCGAUAAGCAAAGAAAUCUCACAUACAGAGGAUCUGGAAUCGUGUCAAGAAAACACAACCCUAUGCACGUACACACAAACAGGUUUUAGAUUACUUAUACCAACUGCACCGUCUCUAUGGUAACUAGCAGCUGUCAUGGCAACCAAGUACAAACGACGUUAGAAAAAAACAAACCUUGAACUCUGAUUUUCAGUUUUGAUUUGGAUAACUUGAACAGAAAACUCACUCUUUUUUUUUUGUCUUCUUUUUUCUCCAGACACAUUGAAGUAUUUUCUUUCACUUCCUGACUUUAAAGCGGUUUAAUGAAAGACGGGAAUGCAGGUAACUGAGGACACGGCAGACAGUUGAAGACUUCUUCUCCGAUACCAGGAUGCAGACGUCUGGAAAACAUUAGGGGAACGGCUCCUCCAGGGCCGCAAACUAUCUGCACUUCACCGUGAAAGCAUCUUUCCGAAAUGAAAUUCAUUUACUAAAUCUGGGCUGAAAGAGAAAGGCAGCAGCGCCAUCGUGUGGAUUACUACACAACGUGCAUGCACCCUGCUGCACUGCAGGAUCAUAAAUAUGCAAGAGAAAAGAUAUCUACAUUAAUCUAUGUUCAGUUUUAUAUGCUGCUCUAAUAAAUGUAAAUAUAUUUAGGAUUUAUUCAGAGGACGUUUUGAGAUUUUACAGGCUUACAUUAAAAGAUGGAUGGAUUUACUUUG